rnacentral:lncRNA from 1 species
GAAACUUUACACAAACUGUGUGAGCAUUUAGUGAGGCUUAUGUCCUCUUAGGUUUGAGGUCUUAUCUUGAGUGAUUGGGGAAGCUCUCAAGUGGCGGCCAACACACUCAUCUUGGAGCACAUCACCCUCCAAGUGGCAUGACAUUCCUCACCCACCAUCAUAAGUUUUCUCAUUCCAUUUCUCCAUUCCAUUUUAAUUCCAUUUUAUGUGUUUGUCUCUUAGCUCUCUUCUUUCUUGCUCUUGGGUUUCACUCACAAUCAUGAGUAUGGUGCAUCAUUUGGGAGGCCAUGACCACCAUUGAUGUUACUUAACCACUUGGUUAAGUUCGUGUCCAGUGGGAAUCUUUCUUAGGUCCUCACCAUUAAUUAUUAAAAAUCUCACUUUUAAGUAAAAGUGUAACCAUAAAUGAAAAC